rnacentral:siRNA from 1 species
UUUGGUGUUGUUGAUGUUAUG